AACGAACGCUGGCGGCAGGUCUUAGGCAUGCAAGUCGAACGGGUGUAGCAAUACAUCGGUGGCGAACGAGUGAGUAACGCGUGGGAAACUGCCAUCUCUGGGGAAUAACGUUUGGAAACGAACGCUAAUACCGCAUACGCCCGCAAGGGGAAAGAUUUAUCGGAGAUGGAUGUGCCCGCGUUGGAUUAGCUUGUUGGUGGGGUAACGGCCUACCAAGGCGAUGAUCCAUAGCUGGUCUGAGAGGACGAUCAGCCACGCUGGAACUGGGACACGGUCCAGACUCCUACGGGAGGCAGCAGCUAAGAAUAUUGGGCAAUGGGGGAAACCCUGACCCAGCCAUGCCGCGUGAAUGAAGAAGGCCUUCGGGUUGUAAAGUUCUUUUAGUCGUGAAGAUGAUGACAGUAGCGACAGAAAAAGCACCGGCUAACUUCGUGCCAGCAGCCGCCGUAA
rnacentral:rRNA from 1 species